CAACCAGGAUUAGAUACCCUGGUAGUCCACGCCGUAAACGAUGUCGACUUGGAGGUUGUUCCCUUGAGGAGUGGCUUCCGGAGUUAACGCGUUAAGUCGACCGCCUGGGGAGUACGGCCGCAAGGUUAAAAUUCAAAUGAAUUGACGGGGGCCCGCCCAAGCGGUGGAGCAUGUGGUUUAAUUGGAUGCAACGGGAAGACCCUUACCUACUCUUGACAUCCAGAGAACUUACCAGAGAUGCUUUGGUCCCUUCGGGAAUUUUGAGCCAGGUGCUGCAUGGCUGUCGUCAGUUCGUGUUGUGAAAUGUUGGGUUAAGUCCCGCAACGAGCGCAACCCUUAUCCUUUGUUGCCAGCGGUUCGGCCGGGAACUCAAAGGAGACUGCCAGUGAUAAACUGGAGGAAGGUGGGGAUGACGUCAAGUCAUCAUGGCCCUUACGAGUAGGGCUACACACGUGCUACAAUGGCAUAUACAAAGAGAAGCGACCUCGCGAGAGCAAGCGGACCUCAUAAAGUAUGUCGUAGUCCGGAUUGGAGUCUGCAACUCGACUCCAUGAAGUCGGAAUCGCUAGUAAUCGUAGAUCAGAAUGUUACGGUGAAUACGUUCCCGGGCCUUGUACACACCGCCCGUCACAGCCAUGGGAGUGGGUUGCAACAAGAAGUAGGUAGUCUUAA
rnacentral:rRNA from 1 species